rnacentral:SRP_RNA from 1 species
GGUCGGGCCCUGCGCGACCGCAGCCCGUGAACCGAGUCAGGGCCGGAAGGCAGCAGCUCUCAGCGGACCUGUGGUGUGCCUCAGGUUUCCUGGCCGUC